AACAGGGAUUGCCCUAGUAACGGCGAGUGAAGCGGCAACAGCUCAAAUUUGAAAUCUGGCGUCUUCGGCGUCCGAGUUGUAAUUUGUAGAGGAUGCUUUUGGGCAGCCACCGGUCUAAGUUCCUUGGAACAGGACGUCAUAGAGGGUGAGAAUCCCGUAUGCGACCGGAAGGGCACCCUUCACAUAGCUCCUUCGACGAGUCGAGUUGUUUGGGAAUGCAGCUCUAAAUGGGAGGUAAAUUUCUUCUAAAGCUAAAUACCGGCCAGAGACCGAUAGCGCACAAGUAGAGUGAUCGAAAGAUGAAAAGCACUUUGGAAAGAGAGUUAAAAAGCACGUGAAAUUGUUGAAAGGGAAGCGCUUGCAACCAGACUUGUCUGCGGUGUUCCGCCGGUCUUCUGACCGGUCUACUCACCGUUUGCAGGCCAGCAUCGUUUGGGGCCGCCGGAUAAAAGCUUAGGGAAUGUGGCUCUUCGGAGUGUUAUAGCCCUAGGUGUAAUACGGCGAGCCUCGAGCGAGGUCCGCGCUUCGGCUAGGAUGCUGGCGUAAUGGUUGUAAGCGGCCCGUCUUGAAACACGGACCAAGGAGUCUAACAUCUAUGCGAGUGUUCGGGUGUAAAACCCCUACGCGUAAUGAAAGUGAACGGAGGUGGGAACUUUUUGUGCACCAUCGACCGAUCCUGAUGUCUUCGGAUGGAUUUGAGUAAGAGCAUAGCUGUUGGGACCCGAAAGAUGGUGAACUAUGCCUGAAUAGGGUGAAGCCAGAGGAAACUCUGGUGGAGGCUCGCAGCGGUUCUGACGUGCAAAUCGAUCGUCAAAUUUGGGUAUAGGGGCGAAAGACU
rnacentral:rRNA from 1 species